GGACAAGGCAAACUUGCAAGGAAGGGCAAUGAUCCUUGAGGACGGGCAUGGCCGCAAAGUUGUCUUUUCUCUCCUUCAUGACCUUGAUUAAUGAAAUAUGGAAAUAUGUUGGAUUUUACAUAGUUAUUUUUGAACAAGAAAAUGCAAUUGCUGUGGCGCCUGCAUUAUGGGUAGAGGAGGUGAAUGGGGUUCUGAUUUGCUACUGGCCCCGUAGAAACGCUGCUGCCAUGGCAAAGGCCUCCCAAAGGCCAGAUAAGGAGCUCUGGAAGCGGCACAAAAUAAGAAUACUC